ACAAGUAAAUAAAAAGUUACCUUCGAGUAGCGGAGGUUCCAUCUCCUCCUCUGGACCCUGAGCUCAGGUGCAGGAUCCACUGCUGAGGUGCGAGGAGCCUCAUUGGUCUUCACCGCUUCCCCAGUGUUGAUCCUCCUCCUCUUGGGGGCGGGGGACAUCUCUUGGGGACAUUUCAUUAGCGGUACCUCAGUCAUCUCGCUGAAGGACCUUGUAUUGCCUCUGCAGCUCAGCCUCUGGACGGGCUGACGGCGAGGCCUUCUCUCUCCGUAGAAUCGGAUCCUCUUCCUCUCUCUGGAGGCGCUUCCUGGUUUCCUCUGGCGGAAUCCCAACUGCAAGACUUCACAGAAAUAUCUCUUUCUGGACUCGCGGUGGAUGGUCCACUUGUCCACAGGCACAGAACCGAAGGCCCGCAGACCGGACAUCUCUCCAAACUGUCUGAAAGCACGUGUCACUCGAACCUGCAGCAGAACGGACAUCAACUUAAAUGCCUGUGGUUGUCAUGGAGACCAACGGUGCAUUUUUUCACACGUGACUUCAAAGCCACUUUAUCAGACUCAAGCUUAAAAUGGCCUCCAGAUCCAUAUGUACUAAUGUCACCUGUGUAUUUCCUCUGUAAACAGGAGUUAGUUUACAUGGAGGAAAUAUGUUACCACGCUGUUGCGUUUAUAACUGACGUUAGCUGAAUGCUAAUGCGGGCUAACGUUAGCAAACAGACUCGUAUAGCCUGAUAACAGGGGACACGUGUUUUCUCCGUUUACACACUGAAACAGCUGAGAGCUGAACUGAGGUGAGGGAGAGGGACAGAUCCUGGAUCUGCAGCAGUGAGGAGGGACUGGACCACUGGGAGCAAUGGGACCAGACUGAAGCUACACAGACACUUACUGAAGAGAUGAGUGUGGAGCAGCACAGGGGCUGACCGCUGCACACAUGGUGACCCACCUUCUGCUGGAGGGCCUUGGGGUUCUUAUGAGCUGUAGGGACACAGCUUUCAGACGGCCAGAGGAAAUGCUGUGGUCAGGAUCUACCACCGCACUUCUCCCCGUACUCCCUGAAGUGUUUCACAUAUUCACAGGCAGUACCAGGAGGAUGUUACGGUGUUAGAUCGUAUUAGAAGAGAGCGGGGGGGUGACAACACUGUUACCGCAGCAUAUCAGCAUUUUAUUUAUUGGCAACAUGGCUCUUUAGUCCAGGGAACCCGUGUUGUCGUCCCCAGCUGCUGUAUUUGUUCCUCUGGAAGCUUCAUACAGUACCACAAGUAUAUAGGUAUAUACGUAUAUAGGUCACACACCUGCAUAUAGGUGCAUACGGAUACAAUUAGGGUUAUUAUUAUUACUUCUGUUGUAUCUUUUUAAUGUAAUUGUUUUUCUAUUACUAUUUUCACACAUUUGCUUUGCAAUAGUUUGUUCAAUUGAGUUUACACUGAAAUGAAAAGUGCAGUAAUAAAAGGGACAUUAAACAGA